AAACAGCGAGUGCAUCAAAGAACUCUGUCACCAAUACAUCCAGAGAGUCAUGGAGAUAGAGGCCAAUCAAGUCCCACAUGAAAUGAUCUACAUUGAUGAGGCUGGCUACAACUUGGC